CUAUUAUGUAGAGCACGUAUAUCUUCUCACCUAAUUAUUAAAUAAAAUAUUUGGUACUACUUUCUACUUCCAGACUUCAAGACAUGAGAGGGGGGGAGAAGGGCGGGCUUGAGUGACUCAGCGUCUAUCAUUCUGGGCUCACGUUCACUGUGUAUGUUCAGUGAACAAAUCUCUGAACGAGCACCUUUCCCUGUGAAAGGUUCAGAGACAGUCUCAGGCUCAGCCACCUGUUUUUUCAUAUUGCAGGUUUCACCACGUAUUGUAAGCUACGAGCUGCGACACACACACAAACGUUCCGUUCAGUGAGCGUAUCCUCAUAGCUGUCCUCUGUAAAAAAAACUCUAACGUUGUGUGUGUGUUGUUGAAUUAUUGCAGCUAAAUGUUAGCAACCUGAAUCGGCUGUGUAUUAGGUGUCUUGAACACACCCCAUUCCUCCUGCAAACGAAUGACAUGAAUCACUGGCUGUGUUUUAUUAGUUGUUCAACAUGCCCUCGUUGACUUCCCAUCACCACUUGCCUUUGCCGCCAUCAUAGGUGUCGUUCCAUUUGUCUGAAGAACUAAAGUGAACUUGGUGAGAUCGACCCUCGGAGGGCUGAGGGGCGAGUCAACAAUGAUAGUCACUCCAGAGGUGUACAUCACCCACAAAAGACUGCAGUUACACAUUUGGUGCAAGAAAAUACAUCCAUGGUUAGGUGGCAGUAGCCUACGUAAAACUCUGGUUGCUUACUUUCGAAGAAGAUAAAUAAAUUGAGCAAGACCUGGUGCAGUCAGAACAACCUGAAGCGCAACGUUCUCAAGACAGCAGAGAUGGUUGUGGAUUACACGAAGAACCUUACCCCACCUGCCCCCAUCACCCUGUGUGACUCCCCAGUUGACACUGUGGAGUCCCUCUGCUUCCUGGGCACCAUCAUCACCCAGGAUGAUGGUGCCCCAUCUCAAGUGGGAGCUGAACAUUAGCUCCUUCACCAAGAAAGCCCAGCAGAGGAUGUACUUCCUGCGGCAGCUGAAGAAAUUCAACCUGCCAAAGACAAUGAUGGUGUACUUCUACACCGCCAUCAUUGAGUCCAUCCUCACCUCCUCCAUCACCAUCUGGUAUGCUGCUGCCAAGGACAAGGGCAGACUGCAGCGUAUCAUUCGCUACGCAGAGAAGGUGACUGCAAUCUACCUUCCCUCCAGGACCUGUACGCCUCCAGGACCCUGAGCCAAGCUGGAAAGAUUGUGGCUGACCCCUCCCACCCCGGACACAAACUGUUUCAGACACUCCCCUCCAGCAUGAGGCUGUGGUCCAUCAGGACUAAAACCUCACACCACAAAAACUGUUUCUUUCCGUCUGCAGCUGGCCUCAUCAAGACCCGGGACCCCCACUGACACCCCACCAUAGUACAGUAUAACAGCUCACAUUAACUCUAUUUUUUUAUUAAAUUAGCUAACAUUACUAUCCUCCAAAGUAAGCUAGUGACAGUCUGCUCCAACGGUAACUACUAUGCAGUAGAUAAACUAUUGAUUCAUUACCUCUGUCUUUUUUCCUGUUUCUCUCUUCUUUUUCUUCCCUGGGCACCAGAUAGCUUUGAUCUUUUUUACAUGGUGUAAUUAGGCUAUCAUAAUAAUGUUGUUGUUGUAUCAUGUUUCACGUCGGCAUCGGUCAGUGUCACUCACUAGUUAAGAUACCUCCAAUCUAGGGUGACCAGAUGAGAACUGGUGAAAUUCAGGACAGGUCUGUUAGGGGGAGGGGCGUGGUCAAGUGAUAACGAUAACUUUGUGGCUCUGAAUUGGUUUAUCUCCUAUCUGUCAAACAGGUCCUUCUCUGUAAUGCUUGGAGAUGCCUCCUCCUCUCGUGCUUCUCUAUUUUUGGGGUCCCCAAGGAUCUAUUUUGGGUCCCCUCCUGUUUACCAUAUAAUGUCCAUGCUACCCCUGGGUCAAAUAAUGCGUAAUCAUGCCAUUGACUUCCAUUGCUAUGCAGAUGACGCCCAAUUUUAUGUCCCAAUAAAGCCUGGUACCACGAACGCAUCCUGCCUCACAGAGAUUUAAAAAUUGGAUGUCCAAAAAUUUGCUGAAAUUGCAUGACUCCAAAUCAGAGGUAUUUAUAACUACCCCUUGUGGCCCCAGUUCUAGCAGCAUUAAUAAUCUCUCCUCUAGUCUGGGUGCCUUAUCAAAUAAUGCCCACAACCUAGGUGUAAUUUUUGAUUCAGAAUUGUCCUUUGAUGCUCAGGUGACUAAAGUGGUGCAGUCCUGAUUUGCACAACUGAGACAGCUAAUCAAUAUCAGGUCAUUCCUUUCCUCUGCAGACUUAGAAACGGUCAUCCAUGCUUUUAUCUCUUCCAGACUUGACUGUUGCAAUGUACUUUAUUCUGGUAUCAGCAGGCGAAAUAUCCAAAGAUUGCAGCUGAUACAAAAUGCUGCUGCCAGGCUUUGAACACGUACUAAGAGAAGCGACCACAUUACACCGAUCCUUGCUGCCCAUCACUGGUUACCUGUGAGUUUUAGAAUUGAUUUUAAGAUUUUACUGCCUAUAUCUGUGAUCUGCUAACUUCCUAUGACCCUGAUCACUGCUUGAGAUCCUAAAUCCCUUCUUAUUUUCCCUUUUCAUGACAACUGUUUUUUUUUUUUUUUACAACUCACCCAUUUAAAUUAUAUUAAGGCUUAAAGUUCUGCAUAAUUAACGACAUGGCCGCUUUGAGUGACAGGUGGGGGGUGCCGGUGCUGUCACCUCUAGUGGAUUGCUGUCUGCUAGCCGCCCAUCACCUCAACUCAGCGGGUCACAGAAUUUGACCUCCCUGUCGUGUCUGUGCCUUUUGGAGAGUUUUUCAAUAAAAAAUCUGAAGAAUAAAAUGGCUUGCUAUGCGGUUUAGUGUACCAACAGACCUUCUAAGUCUUUGCUCCAGUUUUUUCGGUGAGUGAAAUUCUAGUAUUUUAUUUAUAUGUUAGCAAUAAUUAGCAGGUAUUGGUGUCUGCUCUCACCAUGCAUGGCUUGUUAGCUAAUUCGCCAGCUAAAGAAUUAGCCUUGAGUUAGCCUUCGAGCAAAACGCCCAGCUGUGCUAAUAAUGCUAACUUAACGGGAGCAUAUUUUAGUCACAGUUAUUAAACCAGCAUGCACUGAAGUAAAAACAUAAUAGAGAAGUGUUAGAAUUUAGGGUGAUAAUACUUUUGAACAUAUAACAUACAUUUAAAUAAAUAAAUAGAAUGAAAAUAUAUUAAAAAAUGAAAAAGAUAAAUAAAGCAUUACUUACUGGUGAUUUCUGGCAACAUACCCGAUUAUUGCCCGUCUAUUUCAUCAUAAUAUAACCCCACAUUAAUAUUACCCCUGUUAGUACAGCCCAGUAUAAAGAUUUUAAGUUAUGUGAUUAUUAUUAUUGUAAGCAGAUUAUCUUAUUAUUAGCAGCAUGUCAUUACUGAGAUGUCCUGUUUUUCCAGAUUCUCACCCCCCCAAAGUAUUCCCAUCAUUAUUACCAAAAUAUUACCAGGUUAUUACAGCAGUAAUUAUCAUGGUAUGAUACCAGUAUUACCAUAUUGUUGCCUUUGUUUACUUGUUGACAUAAUAUACCAUUUUAUUUAUAUUAUCUGUUAUUGAUUUUCCUUAUUACCAAGCUGUAAUGUGAAUGAUAUAUCACAACAAUCAUAGUCAGAUAGGAAUUAUACCUUGUAUGUGUACUGUGACAUGAGGAUAAACUGUUUUUCUCUUCUGUUGUUGCUGCUGGUCUCCUAGUAGCAGAUGAAGCUCUGCUGCUGCUUCUGCUGGUCUUGGUGGUGGUCUGUCUGGUCCUCAGGAGAAGACAAUGAGCCAAGCAGCCUGGAGCCUUCGUCCAAACUCCGUGUCUGUGCUCACCAGGACACAUGACUGUCAGGAACAAUUAUGAUGAUGAGGAGGAGGAUGAUGAGGUGGAGGAACAGCACUAUGUGAACUUUGAACCAAUGCACUCCAAGAAGAGGCAGAAAGAGAAAACAAGAAGGCUGGAGGAAGAGAAGAGUGAUGGAAAUCAUGAUUGUGAGGAAGAGGAGAGUGAUGAAGGUCAUGAUUAUGUGGGAAGCGAGGAGAUAUAUGCUAUUGUAGAGGACAAUGGAGAGGAAGAGGUGUGUGAAAAUAUUGUUGUAAAAUAAGUAGCUUAAGAGGAAGAAAGCAGUAAUACUGAUGACGACUAUGUUAAUGUACAGCAGCCCUUUGCUGAAGACGCGCUGGACAUUUACGCUGUGUUCACAGUGAAAAAGUGAAAAAAUCAAGUAUACUCAAACCAGACAUUAAAAUAAAUAAAAUUGUGGGGGGUGGUGAAACAGCUUCAAAAAGUUAGCAAAUAGUACAUGCUGUAUAGAAUUAGUAUGUUGGAUUUGGGACAUGGCAAAGACAUGCUGCCACUGGAAUUUUCUUUUUAAACUGGUACAGAUAUUUGCUGUCAAAGGAGUGUUAAGGGGAGUGAUGUGCUGUAUUUUUGAGCAUUAUUCUGUAUCUUUAUUUCUGUAUUUUUCAUUCAAGUAAGUGCAGCAAAACGUGAAUAUAAUGAAGAAAAGCUCUA